CAAAGGGUCCAUGCCAUGAAUCAGAGUAAACUGGAGCGAGAGCUACAUCUGCUUGAUGAUAUGAUUGAAUCCGUCAGACAGACAUUGUCCUCUAUUCCUGAUCUUGUCAAGAGCUGUCCUGAACUACAGAAGCUUGUGGAAUCUAUUGGAUGAGUUGCUGAAAAUUCAGAAAUGUGUAGUUUAGCUUUUAAAUGUUUUCUUGUUUUAUUCUCAAGUGUCUUUCAUUUAAACUAAACCUAAAACCUUCAGGCGUUGUGUCUGGUGAUGCUGUAGGCCAAUCGGUUCAUUUUCUAAGUCUUUUUCAUUCAUUUUGUAAGUGAUUAAUUAGUGUAUGGACACACACACUGUUUAAUAAAUGUUAUUGUCUUAAUUUAAAGGUCUU